UUGCAUACAAGCGAUUAGUCAUACACUUGAUAUUUUUAAUAUUUCUCUCUACAACGAGUGUUCUUUUUCGGGCCAUGAUAUCACAUUACCCAUGGGCCAUGGCUGCUCAAUUCCUCUUUGGUUACUUCAUUGACAGAAAAUUAACAUAACUAUUGAUCCUAUGACAUAUCCUUUCGACUAAGAUAUGUAUUGUCAUUAGUGCACGAAUGUUGGAAAAAUGAAACGAAACCGAUGCCUGAUGCCUGAUGUCGAUGCAGACACACACACACACACACAUACUAUUGAGUAGCUGUUGAAGCAUGUGAGCAGGCGAGGGGACGGGGGGAAGACAAGCUGUUGGGUCUGGAGUGCGGUAAUGAAGUAACCAAAGUCCCCAGCAUACCUCAGCCACGUCCGCAUCCAACAUCUCCCCGGCAUCAUCAUCGAUCGUGUAAUGGCUGCGUUAAGUAGUUGAUGUCUGAGGUGGUUUGCCUCUUGUAAAUUUAAAUGAAGCAGCCAUCCGUCUCUAGCUCCAUCUCAACCUCAA